rnacentral:rRNA from 1 species
UGGGAAUUUUGGACAAUUGGGCGAAAGCCUGAUCCAGCAAUGCCGCGUGUGUGAAGAAGGCCUUCGGGUUGUAAAGCACUUUUGUCCGGAAAGAAAUCCUUGGCUCUAAUACAGUCGGGGGAUGACGGUACCGGAAGAAUAAGCACCGGCUAACUACGUGCCAGCAGCCGCGGUAAUACGUAGGGUGCAAGCGUUAAUCGGAAUUACUGGGCGUAAAGCGUGCGCAGGCGGUUUGCUAAGACCGAUGUGAAAUCCCCGGGCUCAACCUGGGAACUGCAUUGGUGACUGGCAGGCUAGAGUAUGGCAGAGGGGGGUAGAAUUCCACGUGUAGCAGUGAGAUGCGUAGAGAUGUGGAGGAAUACCGAUGGCGAAGGCAGCCCCCUGGGCCAAUACUGACGCUCAUGCACGAAAGCGUGGGGAGCAAACAGGAUUAGAUACCCUGGUAGUCCACGCCCUAAACGAUGUCAACUAGUUGUUGGGGAUUCAUUUCCUUAGUAACGUAGCUAACGCGUGAAGUUGACCGCCUGGGGAGUACGGUCGCAAGAUUAAAACUCAAAUGAAUUG